UUGAUAUGUACUAAUCUCAAUCAAGUUAAUUAUUGCCAAUCAUAAUCAUAGAUGAUCAGUAUUAAAGAUCCAUCUCUAAACUACAGUAAACAUUGUUAUCAAUUUACUACAGGUUACAUUACAUGUUCAUUGAUCAUUGCAGUAAAAACUAAGAAAAUAGAAACAAUUAAAAAAUUUCGGUUGUCCACUGUCUCUUGAGUCUUGUGCUAUGGCAAGCAGCCAGGCACCACAUACGAUUUUAUUUCGCUCGUGCACAUAAGCUCGUGCAGUAUUGUACUUGUUAAUAAUACAGUGAAAUAGAAUCUUAAUGCUUUCCCAACACUAUCAUGUAUUUUAUUGAAGUUAAAACAUUGUUAGAACACUCACCAAACCUUUGUUUUGUUAAUUUAGAGCUUGAAAUGUCCCCUGUAACAAUGCGUGACUGCUAACUCUCAUCCUCGUUUGACCGGUGUCACAGCGAAUUUGGACUCCCCGCGGAUAUGGACCCCCAAUUCAUAUCAGCUAGCGGAUUCGGACCCCUACGGUACAUAUCCUCUAGCUGAUAUGUACCCCUUCCGCGGAAUUGGACCCCCUAAAAUUCACAAAAGGAAGUUUUGAAACGAUUUGCAGUUGAAUGUGCAUGGAAAUUUAGG
rnacentral:lncRNA from 1 species